CCCUUAGAUGUUCUGGGCCGCACGCGCGCUACACUGAUGCGUUCAACAAGUUUCCUUGGCCGAGAGGCCUGGGCAAUCUUCUUAAUAUGUAUCGUGAUAGGGAUAGAUUAUUGCAAUUAUUAAUCUUGAACGAGGAAUUCCUAGUAAACGCAGAUCAUCAAUCUGCAUUGAUUACGUCCCUGCCCUUUGUACACACCGCCCGUCGCACCUACCGAUUGGAUGUUCCGGUGAAGCCUCGGGAUGAGGACUGGUGCCUUUAUUGGCAUGAGUUGUUCAGAACUUGUCUAAACCUUAUCAUCUAGAGGAAGGUGAUGUCGUAACA
rnacentral:rRNA from 1 species